rnacentral:rRNA from 1 species
GACGAACGCUGGCGGCGUGCUUAACACAUGCAAGUCGAACGGAAAGGCCCUGCUUUUGUGGUGUGCUCGAGUGGCGAACGGGUGAGUAACACGUGAGUAACCUGCCCUUGACUUUGGGAUAACUUCAGGAAACUGGGGCUAAUACCGGAUAUGAGCUCCUGCUGCAUGGUGGGGGUUGGAAAGUUUCGGCGGUUGGGGAUGGACUCGGGGCUUAUCAGCUUGUUGGUGGGGUAGUGGCUUACCAAGGCUUUGACGGGUGGCCGGCCUGAGAGGGUGACCGGCCACAUUGGGACUGAGCUACGGCCCAGACUCCUACGGGAGGCAGCAGUGGGGAAUAUUGCACAAUGGGCGGAAGCCUGAUGCAGCAACGCCGCGUGCGGGAUGACGGCCUUCGGGUUGUAAACCGCUUUCGCCUGUGACGAAGCGUGAGUGACGGUAAUGGGUAAAGAAGCACCGGCUAACUACGUG